UGACAGUCGACAUCCAGACAACAUGAAGGCUUCAUCUGUGUCUCUGCUGCUCGGUGUGUCUGUGCUGCUGCUGUCUGGACUGACUGAUUCUGCAGAUUCUCAGGUUAUUCUGGAGAUUCCUGAACUUCCUGUGGUGGCAGGAAGUGAUGUCACUCUGCGCUGUAGAAGCAAAGACAAGGU